rnacentral:rRNA from 1 species
UGUUACCAAAAACAUGGCUUCUCGUGAUGAUAAAAUGGGGAGUCGGACCUGCCCGGUGAAAUUUUUUAACGGCCGCGGUACUCUGACCGUGCAAAGGUAGACUAAUCAUUUGCCUUAUAAUUGAAGGCUAGUAUGAAUGGUUUGACAAGAAUGUAGCUGUCUCUUCAUAAUUUGGUAGAAUUUUAUUUUUAGGUGAAAAAGCCUUAAUGUAAUUAAUAGACAAGAAGACCCUAUCGAGCUUAAAAGAAUUUAGUGGAUUUUUAAAUAGUUUAUUGGUUAAGAGGUAUAACUGCUGAGAUUUUUGGUUGGGGCGACUGAGGAACAUUUAAAGCUUCCUUUAAUGUAGAUAUACGUACAAGUGUUGAUCCAAAAUUAAUGAUUAAAGGAAUUAGUUACCGUAGGGAUAACAGCAUUAUCUCCUUUGAGAGUUCUUAUCGAAAAGGGGGUUUGUGACCUCGAUGUUGGACCAGAAUGUCCUGAAGAUGCAGAAGUCUUUAAGGGUUGGUCUGUUCGACCAUUAAAAUUCUAC